GUCCUCUCCUCCCCCAGAGGUGAUUUUCCCAGGUAGGACAGGACACAAGAGCCAAGAUGAGGAAGGUGACAGUGACUAAGGUGACCCGCGGCUGGGGUGAAGGUUCAUCUCAGCCCUCGGGGGCAGCGACCCCUUCAGAUUAGUGUCUAGUGAACCGGAAAGAAUCUGAGGGACCACAGGGGGACAGGGAGGACCAGAGGGAGGAGCCCCCAGGACAAACGCCCUAUGGGCAAAAACUAGACAAGACGAGGGUCCUGGGCAGGUGAGGGCAGAGGGUCCUGGUGUGCAGGAAGGGACUCCCAGAGUGACAAGAAGACCCACCUCCAGUGGCCCAGGACAGGGGGCGCCCAGGCUGGCUGACUGAGCCCCAGAGGGUCCCUGGGUGAAUGGGCAGCCCACCCCCUUCAGGGACCUCGGGCACAGCCGGCUGGUGGGGAUGGCCAGCACGGAGCUUCCCACCGGCCAGGGCGUCCCAAGAGCCGGCAGCUCACGGCCAAAGCCAGGCACAGGGGAGACUCGGGAAGGAAGAGUCUGAUGAGGCGCAAGAAAGAGCC
rnacentral:lncRNA from 1 species